CUUGCGGGACGACCUGCAAGCGCGUCAUGUUGAACGGGGACGGCCCCA
rnacentral:ncRNA from 2 species